CAUCGUCAAUUCUCUUAU
rnacentral:sRNA from 1 species